rnacentral:rRNA from 1 species
UACAGAGGUCUCAAGCGUUGUUCGGAUUCAUUGGGCGUAAAGGGUGCGUAGGCGGCGCGGUAAGUCGGGUGUGAAAUCUUGGAGCUUAACUCCGAAACUGCCAUUGAUACUAUUAGUCUUGAAUACCAUGGAGGUGAGCGGAAUAUGUCAUGUAGCGGUGAAAUGCUUAGAUAUGACAUAGAACACCAAUUGCGAAGGCAGCUCGCUACGCGGUUAUUGACACUGAGGCACGAAAGCGUGGGGAUCAAACAGG